CCUACGGGCGGCUGCAGUGAGGAAUAUUGGUCAAUGGACGCAAGUCUGAACCAGCCAUGCCGCGUGCAGGAAGACGGCCCUAUGAGUUGUAAACUGCUUUUGUACGAGGGUAAACGCAGAUACGUGUAUCUGUCUGAAAGUAUCGUACGAAUAAGGAUCGGCUAACUCCGUGCCAGCAGCCGCGGUAAUACGGAGGAUUCAAGCGUUAUCCGGAUUUAUUGGGUUUAAAGGGUGCGUAGGCGGUCGGAUAAGUUAGAGGUGAAAUCCCGAGGCUCAACUUCGGAAUUGCCUCUGAUACUGUUCGGCUAGAGAGUAGUGGCGGUAGGCGGAAUGUAUGGUGUAGCGGUGAAAUGCUUAGAGAUCAUACAGAACACCGAUUGCGAAGGCAGCUUACCAAGCUACUUCUGACGUUGAGGCACGAAAGCGUGGGGAGCGAACAGGAUUAGAUACCCCGGUAGUC
rnacentral:rRNA from 1 species